ACAACGAAUUGGUUUGCACUUGUCAGGAGGUCAAUUUUUAUUUACACUUGGGUUGCAUUUGUAAAAAACCAUCAUUCCUUCACUGUCGACGGCUAUUGAAAGGAGGACUGUGGCAAUUUCUUUUGUUCUGUCCAACCCACCGCAAUUUCUUUGUUCUGCCCAAGCCACCGCUGCCGGUAAAGCUAUGGAUUGUUGCUGGGAUUUUCUGCUUAUGCUAAUGCUUCUUCUUCAUUUUGCUCUCCUUCAUAAAGAUUGGUCAGGUGAGCUUUUCCUUUUACUGAACUAUUCCUUCUAUAAUGCUGUUUAUUCCGAUAUGUUUUUUGCUUGGUCAUUCGUAUUUACUUUGUUUAUGGGUGUUUUGUAUUUUGUCGUUGCGUUAAGGUAAGCCUAUUUUUAAUUUUCUGUGUUCUUUGAUUAUUAUUAUUGGACAAUUUGUGGUCGUCCUUGUCUGUGAGAAUUGAACAAUAUUCGUCGGAUGCGCUUUUUCUUUUAGUGAACUAUUUCGUCUAUACUCCUGUUUAUUCCAAUAUGUUUUUUGGUCCGUCAUUCAUCGACUAAUUCAGGUUUACUUUCUCUGUUUAUGGGUGUUUUCUAUUUUGCCGUUGCAUUAAGCUUUCUUCAUAUGUGGUUGCUGUAACGAGCUUUCUUUCUUCGUCAUCUUGUGUUAUAUAUUUGGAGUUUGUAUUGAUUCAGCAAUAAUUGAAGCAUCCAGCAGGUUGAGCAGUAGUAACAGAAAUUGACAAUAAGUAACAUGUAGUAAUUCUUCGGACACUAGUACUUUUCUUUGUUAUAGGCAUGUAUUCAUUUGAAAGCUGAUAAAGAUUCUGGGCUGAAUUUGUAAUGCUUUUACAUGUAUAUUAUGCAGAAUAAAUGCUACCCUAAUUCUC